rnacentral:pre_miRNA from 1 species
AUGUAGGGCGAUCUGUCUUUAAGUAGGGAUCAAUUUAAAAGAAAUGAAUCAUAGAUAAUUUUCCCUUCAAGUCAAGCAUCUCGU